rnacentral:tRNA from 1 species
CGGAGUCUAAACCCCCUUCAAACACACAGGUU